CCUCUGGUAGCUCAGUUGGUAGAGCGGUGGACUGUAGAUCUAUAGGUCGCUGGUUCAAAUCCGGCCCAGAGGA